rnacentral:tRNA from 1 species
GCGGAAGUAGUUCAGUGGGAGAACACCACCUUGCCAAGGUGGGGGUCGCGGGUUCGAAUCCCGUCUUCCGCUCCA